UGGGCUCACUGGAAUCGAGCGAGUUGUGCGGCACGAUAGCCAACUUGGAAACUGUAGAUCCCAACCGACAAAUAGACGAGAUGGUUACGGCUGAGAGGGCUAACCUCUGUGGAAGACGACCAUGCAAAUCUGCAUUUGCUCAGUCAGAAGGAAAGAGGUCCUUUCGGCCGGGUUGGACAAGUUAGAGGAUGAGGGUGAUGUAAUUCGGCGAGUUCUUCUCCUGGGUUGUGUUUAAUGAGGUUGGGAUGUGGACAAAUGAUGGAAUAGAGGAGGUUCGAAUAGUUUGCAUGGCUGGUUCUUUUAGAGCUGAAGCUACAAGAGACGGGAAGAAAAGGAAGCGAGAAAGAAGGGACUUGUUACUGAAGUGGCCACUCACUGAACUAGAGGCUUUAAAUUGUUCAACGCAAGAGACAGUAGGACAGCUGAGACAGUGACAGACAGAAAACUAUAAGCUUUUAUUUUCUUUUUCCUCUUUUUUACUAUUUAUAUGCUAUUUGAUUGGGGAAAUGGGGGACAGAGGAAAAAGGAAAACUAAUUUUAUCUUAUUGGAACUGGAAUUAGAGG
rnacentral:lncRNA from 1 species